UACGGAGGGUGCAAGCGUUAUCCGGAUUUACUGGGUUUAAAGGGUGCGUAGGUGGAUUUGUAAGUCAGUGGUGAAAUCUCCGGGCUUAACCCGGAAACUGCCAUCGAUACUAUAAGUCUUGAAUUAUCUGGAGGUAAGCGGAAUAUGUCAUGUAGCGGUGAAAUGCUUAGAUAUGACAUAGAACACCAAUUGCGAAGGCAGCUUACUACGGAUAUAUUGACACUGAGGCACGAAAGCGUGGGGAUCAAACAGG
rnacentral:rRNA from 1 species